UCCAGCACAGGUCCUAGGUCCCUAAGAGUCCUGCACAUAUUUGUUACAUCAGUCUUCGGAGCUAAUCAUAGCCCUCUGGAAGCCAAGGAAUCUGAGACAAUUAUUUUGCACACGUUUUAUAGGCGGGACACUAUCUGGUACAGUAGCGUCUUGUGGCCAGGAAGAAAUAGUAGUCUUGGUGUCUGCUCACUGUUAGGAAGUCCAUCCUUUUGUCUUCUUCAGAUAAAAUAGUGGAUAUUUUUUUUUCCCCCAGAGGAGAAGAGAGUUUGUAAUUCAGAAAGUUCUAGGCCAGGCAUGAAGGCGCAUGCCUUUAAUCCCAGCCCUUGGGAAGCAGAGUAGGUGGCUCUCUGCAAGUUUUAGGCCAGUCUGUUCCAUAUAGCAAGUUGCAGGCCAGCCACUGCCACAUGGAUGUCUCAAAAAACAAAGUAAUAAGGAGGACUUAGGAGCCUAGAUAUUUGUGUUCUUGCCUGAUGGCCACAUCCAAAUCCUGCCUUUGCUCAGCCUGGGGUCACAGAAUGUGGGUUAAUCACUCAAUCCCAUUCCAUAUAUGAUAUUGCAGACUAUGAAACUGAGAUUGGGUUUUUCAUUUGGUCUAAGACACAUUUUCAUUAUGUAAAAUCUUGGUUGACUCAAACCUUCAAUCCUGCCUCAGCUGGCACUGGAAACCUGCACUAUCAUGCCGAGCUGUGAGUCUCUGCUUUAAGAGAGGAGAUAUAUAUAUAUAUAUAUAUAUUUGUAUUCUGACAUGAUAUGAGGCUUAGAAAGCUCUGAGGUUGGCUGUGAGAGGAGAGGCAAAAAACAAGGAAAAUGGGAAUGAGCCUCCCACCCCCAUGUGAUUGUGAACAAGACAGAAGAGGUUAGAACUCAAGCUAGACAUUAUCAUCUGAAGCUGUACUCGUCCCAGAUGGAAAGAGGAGAUAAUAGAAUGUGCCAGAAAGCUCACCUUUCCCAUGAUGGGUUUAGCUUUAGUCCAGGUCACCCUGAAGUCAUUUCUUGAGUCAUUUUGAAGGUCCUGUAAUUGAUUGAACAGGGAUUCUUCUGUACACAGAGAUCUAAUAUGUAUAAGCCAGACCUCUUAAAUGAGAAAGUUUAUUUUCUCUCAGUAAAUCACCUUGCUGUGAUAUUCAGGGAAGCUGAAAUGAAAGCCUCACGGCAGUAAUAGCACUAUAUGAGCAGUGCGUCUGGGUAAAGUCUGUAGCUGUUGGCUGUGCAUGGUAGGCACAGGCUGCAGUCUCAGCACUCGGAAGCCCAAGGCAGGAGGACAGCCUGAGCCAUCUGAAGAGAUGUCUCAGAACAGGUGGCAUGUAGCUGCUGAGAAAUGAUAAAGUGCACCAAGAGUUUCAGGCAUGGAUUUCCAAGCGAGGAUACGCUUAGAGGUAGAUUUUAAGGAAGACUUGAAAAGCUACAGAUUACAGAUAAUUUAAAGGAAAAUUAUAGCUGUAGAUAGGUAUGAUGGUUUUCAGCUGCAAUCCCAGCACUUGAAGACGGAUCAGGACAGCAAGGUCUCAUGAGUCAUGUCAGGGUGGGGACUAGGGAGGUUGCUUAGAGAUGGACCACUUGAGUCACAGUCUUGUGGCUCAAGCUGGGGUGAGCUCUUCCAGCUUUUACUCCCCAAAUGCUGGGAUUGUAGACUUGAUUCUUAGUGGCCAGUGAAACUGCAAAUAAAAAAAGGAAAUCUGAGC
rnacentral:lncRNA from 1 species